ensembl:lncRNA
GUAAGUUGAAGCACAUGUUGACAUUUAAAGAAAGUGAUCUCUCUCAUCUCUUCUACCCGUCACGUCUUGGAAUGGUCAAAUCACAACAUACAAUCAUAACGUUAUUUCUACUAGAUGCUGGUGAAGACGCUGUUUCACAGGACCUUGCAAUACAAAAGAUGACAAUCUACAGGAACAAGUCGAACACGUCGAAGAGUCCAGACGUCGGUAUCGUGUUGGACGGAGUAAAAGUUCUGACUGCACCAAGGGACUUUCCAAGGGCUUGCUGUCUGCUGGUUAUGUUUGCGUAUGCAGUGAAUCUUGCACAUUCAAAGAAACUUAAACACAUUUAAGGUGUUCCAAGUUUUCUUGGAGCUGGACUGUUCAAACCGUUGACCCUUGGAGAAAAAAAGGGAAUUGUUGUUACUGUUAGAACUCUCCAAUGUGGUUACUGUUUGUUCAAUGCAUGUUAAUUAAAUUUUAAAGAUUCACAUUGAGAAGUUUAGGUUUGGCUCUUUCCUGGAGUUCACUUUUAGUGUUGCAAUCUAGUGUUAAUGCUGCUUUAUUUGUGUUGUUCAAAUGUAUAUAAACCAUGCUCAUUUAAUGCAGCUUUUCCUGUAUGUAUUUAUAGAAAUUUGCACAAAUAAAGUUUAAC